AUUGAACGCUAGCGGGAUGCUUUACACAUGCAAGUCGAACGGCAGCGCGGACUUCGGUCUGGCGGCGAGUGGCGAACGGGUGAGUAAUGUAUCGGAACGUGCCCAGUAGCGGGGGAUAACUACGCGAAAGCGUAGCUAAUACCGCAUACGCCCUACGGGGGAAAGCAGGGGAUCGUAAGACCUUGCACUAUUGGAGCGGCCGAUAUCGGAUUAGCUAGUUGGUGAGGUAACGGCUCACCAAGGCGACGAGCCGUAGCUGGUUUGAGGGGAGGACCAGCCACACUGGGACUGAGACACGGCCCAGACUCCUACGGGAGGCAGCAGUGGGGAAUUUUGGACAAUGGGGGCAACCCUGAUCCAGCCAUCCCGCGUGUGCGAUGAAGGCCUUCGGGUUGUAAAGCACUUUUGGCAGGAAAGAAACGUCGCGGGCUAAUACCCCGUGGAACUGACGGUACCUGCAGAAUAAGCACCGGCUAACUACGUG
rnacentral:rRNA from 1 species